AACCGUUCCUCCCGGGCCUCACUUCUUGCCAUGUCCUCCUUCCAUUGUCGAGUCAUGACUUGCAUCUGGUUUACCAGCACAUGGACGUCUCUCACUGGCCUUGUUUGCUGGGUCCUCGUUCCUUUAAGAAACGGCAGCUAUAAAGUCAGUCGUAUCCCUACCGAUUAGGCAUGUGGUAGUAACCAUCUCGACAUCAGCUGUUUGUUAGACUACACAGGAUGAGUGACAGCAUGGCAUGAAGAUUCUUUGUGAUGCCCAUAUGUUGAUGCAGUUAUAAUAUUGCAGAACUUACCAGGUAGAUCAUCGGUGAUUGUAGCACGCAGUGGAGUAGAAGGUGGUGGAGAGCAGCUAGAGUCGACCUAACGGAGGAGGUAGCACGCAGUGGAGUAGAAGGUGGUGGAGAGCAGCUAGAGUCGACCUAACGGAGGAGGUAGCACGCAGUGGAGUAGAAGGUGGUGGAGUUGACGUAGGUGAGGAGGUUCCAGAUGAGCCUCCGAGCAGCGUCUCUUCCGGGUCCAUUGUAGUAUCUAUAAGAUGGUACAGCACAAAUAAUAAUAAAACGUUAUUUAUAGAGCACCUUUCAUGCAAAAGAAUGCAGCUCAAAGUGCUUUACAGCAAAUACGUGCGUAAUAACGUGCACAAAGAAAUUACCUGCACAUAAAAAUGGACAAAGAAACAUAAAAACUCAACUAUAGUGCAAAAACAAAUGUAGAAAGUACAGUUCAUGUAAUGUACACUUUAUUACGUUUGUAACUUUCAUUCUAAAUUGAAUUCCUUGCAGGUUAGUGGGAAGAUCUACACGUUUCUCAAAGGCU
ensembl:lncRNA